GUCACAUGAUGAUCCAGUUGCUACUUAAAAAUUCAAGGCAAUACUGUUGAGAAUUGCUGGGAAUGUAAUGAGUAUGGCACCUACGACCAGCUGAAGAUGAGGGUCCGUGCCAUCCACAGCCUGGCUUCUCUCCUGGUGACGACACUGCCUCAGUGGUCCCAGAGUCCCGUCCCCACGACGCAUCAUCCAGAGAGACAGCCCCUUCCAGAGAAUCUCUGCUCGUCUCAAACUGCCCUGAUGCCACGACUGUCUGAAUGUCGCUCUUGGCGCUGGAACACACAACUGUGGGACGUGAGACAGAAGAAGCCCAUUCUCUGCCUUGGUCUGUUCAGGGCCCUCCUGAUUGGGGGCCCACCCUCCAAAGUGCAUGGGUGCGUGAGGGAGAUGAAGCUUUUGAGUGAAAAUCUGCAUUCCCUUCGGGAAGCAAAAGGGAGGCUGGCUUCCAGAUGCAAGCAGGAAGGUGUCUACACGGACGGGAGGACUCUCCGUGGAGUGUGGGGGAGCCGGUUUGGAGGUUCUAACAUUACCCUGGACAGAAGGCCGGUCCCUCUCUUUCCAGGAAGGUUGUCCUCUUGGACUGGAGGCUCAGCUACACGAGGCAAGCACAGGGAACAGCGGGGGCAGAAGGGGACAUCAGCCGACCCAACCGCGGCGACCAACAUGGUGACAGAGGUGGUGGCCCAAUUGCCCAAAAAAAAAAAAAAAUCCACUGAAGCAUUUUGGAAGGGAAGAGCUCUUUGUCUUUAAAGGACAACAAAACUCCUCAUGACUAUCUCAUUAGAAAACCUUCGUGACGAGACACACUCAAGAAUAUGCAAGAAGGUCCAAGAACCUUCUAGAAGCCUUAGGUACCAGGUUCAUUUCGGAAACUGAAAUUCACUUCUGCUUUUUUCUUUCCAUUAUUUGGGCAUCACUGAGCUCCCAACAUGCCGUACACUUUAUCCCUAAUAGACUCCACCCUCGCAGUGUUAACUUCAAUGAAUUCUCUUCUAGGCCGAGUUACCCUCUCUCAGUCCCAGGAGACACUGGGACUGGGUCAGGAAAAGACAAACCUGAAUCAGCAUCUAAAUGUGUUCACUUCUGACUUGGAAUCCUUGGCUUAAUUCCAAAAGAAAGUGUAAGUGCUUCAGGAUUGACGAUUCGUUUGUAUUUUCUGACUUCUGGCUCCUGCCCAUGAACACAAUAGUGUACCUUGUAUUUUUAGGAAAGAAUCAGACAGUUAUACCCCGGGCUUGGAAAAGGUGAAGGCGAUGCUUUUUUCUUGAUCCUGGAGCCACUUCUGGAAAUCUUAUCAUCUUCUGUGCCCACCUGAAAUGAAGGGCAGAGGAGAGGUCAACAGGGCGGGGCGAUCGCUGCUCUCCUGCCAAAAGGUAGAUGUUUUUCUUGGGUCAAGGGAGCCCAACCUGAGCCCUGAGCCCUUUUGCUGUAGUCCCAGGAGCAGGAAGCUGCGGGAUGUGCCCUGGGGACAAGGCCUGGGGGCAGGGUCUGAGUGGGCCAAGCCAGAGGAGCUGGGGGUCAGGAGGCCCUGCAGGACCUCAGAGGAAGCAGUGCCACCCAGCGGCCCUGGGGAGUUAGGCACCUCUGCCGCCUUCCCCUUCACAGCACUUUGCUGGGAGAGAAGCAGGUGGGGGCAGGCGGGAGGGAGGGUGAGAGCUCGCACUGCCUGUCCUUGCCGAAGCUCUGGGGCCAGGGUCUCAUCGUUGCUGGUAAAAAGGAGGUACAGAUGUGAAAUGGAAGUGGAUCUACA
ensembl:lncRNA